AGUGAAGCGGGAAGAGCUCAAAUUUGAAAUCUGGCGGUCCUUGGCCGUCCGAGUUGUAAUCUAGAGAAGUGCUACCCGCGCUGGACCGUGCAUAAGUCUCCUGGAACGGAGCGUCGCAGAGGGUGAGAAUCCCGUCUUUGGCACGGACUCCCAGGGCUUUUGUGGUGCGCUCUCGAAGAGUCGAGUUGUUUGGGAAUGCAGCUCAAAAUGGGUGGUAAACUCCAUCUAAAGCUAAAUAUUGGCGAGAGACCGAUAGCGAACAAGUACCGUGAGGGAAAGAUGAAAAGCACUUUGGAAAGAGAGUUAAACAGUACGUGAAAUUGUUGAAAGGGAAACGCUUGAAGUCAGUCGCGUCGGCCGGGGAUCAACCUUGCAACUGCGGGGCGCACUUCCCGGUCGACGGGUCAGCAUCAGUUUCGACCGCCGGAAAAAGGCCUGGGGAAUGUGGCACCUCCGGGUGUGUUAUAGCCUUUGGUCGUAUGCGGCGGUUGGGACUGAGGAACUCAGCGCGCCGAAAGGCCGGGUCUUUUCGACCACGCACCGCGCUUAGGAUGCUGGCAGAAUGGCUUUAAUCGACCCGUCUUGAAACACGGACCAAGGGAGUCUAACAUGCCUGCGAGUGUUUGGGUGGAAAACCCAUGCGCGCAAUGAAAGUGAAAGUUGAGACCCUCGUCGAGGGGGGCAUCGACGCCCGGACCAGAGCUUCUGCGACGGAUCCGCGGUAGAGCAUGUAUGUUGGGACCCGAAAGAUGGUGAACUAUGCCUGAAUAGGGUGAAGCCAGAGGAAACUCUGGUGGAGGCUCGUAGCGAUUCUGACGUGC
rnacentral:rRNA from 1 species